GAUGAACGCUAGCGGCAGGCUUAAUACAUGCAGGUCGAGGGGCAGCAUGUCCCGCAGCAAUGCGGGAUGAUGGCGACCGGCAAACGGGUGCGGAACACGUACAGAACCUUCCUUCGAGCGGGGAAUAGCCCAGAGAAAUUUGGAUUAAUACCCCAUAGUAAAUUGAAAAAGCAUCUUUUUAAUUUUAAAGAUUUAUCACUUGAAGAUGGCUGUGCGGCUGAUUAGGUAGUUGGCGGGGUAACGGCCCACCAAGCCUGCGAUCAGUAACUGGUGUGAGAGCACGACCAGUCACACGGGCACUGAGACACGGGCCCGACUCCUACGGGAGGCAGCAGUAAGGAAUAUUGGGCAAUGGACGCAAGUCUGACCCAGCCAUGCCGCGUGGAGGAUGAAGGUCCUCUGGAUUGUAAACUUCUUUUAUAUGGGACGAAAAAAGGGCUUUCUAGCUCACUUGACGGUACCAUAUGAAUAAGCACCGGCUAACUCCGUGCCAGCCGCCGCGGUAACAC
rnacentral:rRNA from 1 species